CAAAACUGUAUUAAAUUCGUUAUUUAGUCAUUUAAAUCAAAAUACAAUUUCAAGAUGAUGAGAUAGCAUUGCCAACUUAUCGGUUACUUUGCAAUGAUGAUGAGAUAUCAAUCAAACCAAUGCAGCCACUUUAACGCUUAUUAUUUUCUUAAAAAAUUAUUAAAUAAGGAUUAAAGCAAUUGAAAGAAAAAAAAGAGAGAAACAUAACAACAGUAACUCUUCAUCACCCAAACUCUAUCUCUUCCUCUCGUUGAUUUCUCUUUGCCCUUGUCAGAGAAAGGCGGUCGGCGGCGCCAUCGUCCCCUAUGGUGAUUCCCUACCUCAAAACUUUACUUUCCCAAAAUAAACCCCCCUUAUAUUUUCAUGUUUGUUAUGAAUUUGAACUCCAUUUUAUCAAAAUCUCAACCUAAAAGGAGAUCGUCCCUCUCAGAAAUCACAACACAAUUAAAAGAAAAAGCAACUAACAACAACAUUCAAAAGACAAGCUUACGGAUUUCGACACGUAAAAGGGAUUGAAGAUAAAACAACAAAGAUUAACGAAGGAGUAAAGAAAUACCUAGAUUCAGGUAAGAAAUUUUCGCCCUCUAAAUCUUGUUUUCUGUUUGGAUCUUCCUCUCUCUGUAUUUGUUGGUUUAUGUUCGUGUUGUUAAAAAAUAUUGCUGCAAUAUUUAGAGUUUGAAUAUUUCUAUAUUUGCUUAAUAAAUUUUUGUGUUUGGACUUAAAUCUGGGAGAUAAAUUUGAGUUUCUGACUGAUAGAGAAAAUAUUAUAUCAGAUUUACUUGGAAAUUUCUUUGGUUUGGUGGUUUGAAGAAAAAAAAAAUAUUUCAGUUUUUCUUCAAAUUCUCUCUGUUUUGAAAUUUGAAAAUGAAAAAUCUCCCCCUCAUACUUUCUGCUACUUGUUAUUUAUAUUCAAGAAAAUAAAUUAGGAUUGUUUGAAUAUAAAAACAUCUUUUGUUUUGGUUCAAUUUUAUUUCUGGUGAAGUUCCUGCUUAAUUGCUCAUCCUAUGUUUCUCUGCUAAAACCUUUUUGCUCUUUUUACUCUUGACUUUUUGAAAUAUGUUUUGCUUAGAAAAAUAUGUUAACGACACUAUUCUGCAACUACUGUAGCAAUAAGACAAAAACCUGUCCAAACCAAAGAGAGCAGAGUUCUGGUUGUGUAGAGGAAAAAAAAGACAAACAAGCUCUUAGUCAUUGUGUAACUAAUACACUUGAAGAGCCCCUUUGAUUUUGUAAUGGUUACUACAAAAAAAAUGUAAAUUAUGUGUAAUAGAGGCUUUGUGGUGUAAUAUAAAUCCCUAUCUUUUUUUUAAAGUUUUUUUUAUGAUGUAAAAAGAAAAUAAUCUAAAGUGUAAAUAAAAUUUUAAUUUUAAAAAAAAUAAAAAUAAAUAAAAUAAUAAUAAAAAAAUAUAAUUAUAAAUAUGACA
rnacentral:lncRNA from 1 species